rnacentral:snRNA from 1 species
GCUUCAGCAGCACUUAUGCUAACUGGAACGAUGCAGAAAAGGGUAGGAUUGGGCCUGUGCAAGGACGACCCAGAAAUUCAUGUAGAGUUCCACAAUGAA